rnacentral:rRNA from 1 species
GACGAACGCUGGCGGCGUGCCUAAUACAUGCAAGUUGAGCGCUGAAGGUUGGUACUUGUACCGACUGGAUGAGCAGCGAACGGGUGAGUGACGCGUGGGGAAUCUGCCUUUGAGCGGGGGACAACAUUUGGAAACGAAUGCUAAUACCGCAUAAAAACUUUAAACACAAGUUUUAAGUUUGAAAUAUGCAAUUGCAUCACUCAAAGAUGAUCCCGCGUUGUAUUAGCUAGUUGGUGAGGUAAAGGCUCACCAAGGCGAUGAUACAUAGCCGACCUGAGAGGGUGAUCGGCCACAUUGGGACUGAGACACGGCCCAAACUCCUACGGGAGGCAGCAGUAGGGAAUCUUCGGCAAUGGACGAAAGUCUGACCGAGCAACGCCGCGUGAGUGAAGAAGGUUUUCGGAUCGUAAAACUCUGUUGGUAGAGAAGAACGUUGGUGAGAGUGGAAAGCUCAUCAAGUGACGGUAACUACCCAGAAAGGGACGGCUAACUACGUG